UCCUUCUUUUAUUCUCACUUC
rnacentral:piRNA from 1 species